rnacentral:rRNA from 1 species
AACGCUAGCUACAGGCUUAACACAUGCAAGUCGAGGGGCAUCAGGGUAGCAAUACCGCUGGCGACCGGCGCACGGGUGAGUAACACGUAUCCAACCUACCGUUAACUCGGGGAUAGCCUUUCGAAGGAAAGAUUAAUACCCGAUAGUAUAUUUUCUUCGCAUGUUGAAAAUAUUAAAGAAUUUCGGUUAUCGAUGGGGAUGCGUUCCAUUAGGCAGUUGGCGGGGUAACGGCCCACCAAACCUACGAUGGAUAGGGGUUCUGAGAGGAAGGUCCCCCACAUUGGAACUGAGACACGGUCCAAACUCCUACGGGAGGCAGCAGUGAGGAAUAUUGGUCAAUGGACGAAGGUCUGAACCAGCCAAGUAGCGUGAAGGAUGACUGCCCUAUGGGUUGUAAACUUCUUUUAUAUGGGAAUAAAGUUCUCCACGUGUGGAGUUUUGUAUGUACCAUUAUGAAUAAGCAUCGGCUAACUCCGUGCCAGCAGCCGCGGUAAUACGGAGGAUGCGAGCGUUAUCCGGAUUUAUUGGGAUUAAAGGGAGCGUAGGUGGACUGGUAAGUCAGUUGUGAAAGUUUGCGGCUCAACCGUAAAAUUGCAGUUGAUACUGUCAGUCUUGAGUACAGUAGAGGUGGGCGGAAUUCGUGGUGUAGCGGUGAAAUGCUUAGAUAUCACGAAGAACUCCGAUUG